GUUCCCAUCGAUUAGUGGUCAGAUCAUCACGUUGUGGUUAAAUCCAAAACCGUGGAGACGGGGGCUCGACUCCCCCUGGGAACA